AAUAAAGCCCGACCCAACCCAUACCAGACCGGCCCGACCCGACCUGACCCGGAAAUUUAGGGCUUUUUCGGGGCGGGCCUCCUUUGGAUUGGGAUUGCGACGAACCAAUUCAUCUCGCCGGAAGCCUGUCUGCACAUGGAAUUAGAGUCGCUCUUAGCUCUAGCUGCACCACAGAUGCUGAGAAGAUUCAAUCUGAGCCACCGAGCUGGAAUGCACCUCAUACGUCGGUGAAAUCGCCCCAACAACAAGCUUCCAGUAUCACUCCUUCAUUUAUCUUCAAUCGAGGAACUCCCGGAUGAAUGCCUCUUUGAGAUCUUCAGACGGCUUCCCAGCUGUAGAGAAAGGAGCUCAUGUGCCUGUGUUAAGAUCUUCGAGCUGUUGAGCCUUGGUGUGAGAAAGAAACUCCCUUGGGUCUCGCUACACAAUCUGCUCAUCCAGCUCGCUUCUCGCCUAAUGACAAAUACUCAAGGCAAAGAGUUCUUCUAAAGAAGCGAUUUGGAUUGUUGCCGACCCAACAACCGCCUCAGAAAUACUAAAUAGGGGAUAUCGCAUAGGUGUUCUUUUCCUGCGAAACUAAGAUUGCAUGUAAUAGAUUUGGUUUCUCAGCAUAUGUCUCUAUUUGGUCUUAGGUCUUUGUUUGUGACACGUUGACAGGCUCAAUUGUAAACCACUUUUUGGAUAACAGAAUCAAUUUUUACUUUAUACAGCCAACUUGACAGAGAUUAUAAGCAGCUUGCAAUUUUUA